UACAGGGGGUGCAAACGUUGCUCGGAAUCAUUGGGCGUAAAGCGCGCGUAGGUGGCUUCGUAAGUCCGUUGUGAAAGUCAAAGGCUCAACCUUUGAAUGCCGAUGGAUACUGCGAAGCUAGAGUACGGAAGAGGCGAGUGGAAUUCCUGGUGUAGCGGUGGAAUGCGCAGAUAUCAGGAGGAACACCAAUAGCGAAGGCAGCUCGCUGGGACGUUACUGACACUAAGGCGCGAAAGCGUGGGGAGCGAACAGG
rnacentral:rRNA from 1 species